GAGUUUGAUCCUGGCUCAGGACGAACGCUGGCGGCGCGCCUAACACAUGCAAGUCGAACGAGCGAGAGAGAGCUUGCUUUCUCGAGCGAGUGGCGAACGGGUGAGUAACGCGUGAGGAACCUGCCUCAAAGAGGGGGACAACAGUUGGAAACGACUGCUAAUACCGCAUAAGCCCACGGCUCGGCAUCGAGCAGAGGGAAAAGGAGCAAUCCGCUUUGAGAUGGCCUCGCGUCUGAUUAGCUGGUUGGUGAGGUAACGGCUUACCAAGGCGACGAUCAGUAGCCGGCUUGAGAGAGUGAUCGGCCACAUUGGGACUGAGACACGGCCCAAACUCCUACGGGAGGCAGCAGUAGGGAAUAUUGCACAAUGGGGGAAACCCUGAUGCAGCGACGCCGCGUGGAGGAAGAAGGUCUUCGGAUUGUAAACUCCUGUUGUUGGGGAAGAUAAUGACGGUACUCAACAAGGAAGUGACGGCUAACUACGUGCCAGCCGCCGCGGUAAUAC
rnacentral:rRNA from 1 species